AUAACAACCAGACAAAUUGUUUCCGUUCUAAUUGUGCUUGUGUCGUGACUCAAGAACCCUCUUUCUCUCUCUCAUAAGUCGCUUUCAGUCAUAAAUUAGGGAAAAGCAAUUAGACAGCUACACCCACACACACUCUCUCUCUCUCUCUCUCCCUUCUCUUCUCAUCUCAGUUCAGUUCUCACCACCCAGCUCAAAAACGUUACCCUCUUUCUCUCUCUAUCUCAUGUUUCUCUCUCCUCUUCCUUCUUCUUAACUAUAACUAGUUUCUCUGUGAGUUACCUUCACUACUCAUCAUGGAAGCUAACUUUGAUGGAUUCUCAAUAAGAGAAUACACUUCUAAGAUGAGGUCCAUCGAUGUUUUCAAAUGCUGGCCAUUCCCUGCAACCACUAACCGUCAACUCACGCGCGACGAACUUCACUCAUGGCUUCCUCCUAUGUCACCCUGCCCUAAGGGCAGAUCCAAUCCUCAAGAACCUUCUAGAACCGAUCAUAACGGUUAUUAUUCAAGUCAAGAAGAAUCUGAAUCUUCCAAAUCAGAUAAACUCGCUUCUCCUUCUGCUCCUGCUUGUGCUCGUGCUCCUGAAGAUGAUGAAAAAUUGGAGAUGAUUUGUCCGGUAUGUCGCGAAUUCAACGCGGCUACUCUCACGGCGGUAAACGCACACAUCGACGGUUGUCUUGCGGAGUCUGUUAGAGAAGAGCGUCGUCACAUGAAGAUGAUGAAUUCCAAAGCAACUAAAUCGAUUAAAUCCAAGUCACCGAAAAAACGUUCUAUCGCUGAGAUUUUCAAGGUCGAAAAUAAGGAUCAGGUUCAGGAGAAAGAAGAAGAAGAAGAAGAAAGACAGCUACAUAACGAGAGAGCGAUGAAAUUGUGGCCGUUACCUGAGGAUGUAGUCGAGGAUGAAGUUUCGAUUACUGUUAGGAAGUUCAGAUGGCUUUCAGAACGGCUUGAGGCGUUGAGAUCUAAACCUGGAGGUGUUGAAUCUGUGAAAUCUUCAGUGGAUGAGGAGAAAUUGGAGAUGAUUUGUCCGGUUUGUCGAGAUUUCAACGCUGCUACUGUGACGGCGGUGAACGCUCACAUCGAUAGUUGUUUAGCUCAGGCGGUUAGAGGUGAACGGCGUCAAACGGUGAAGACUGGUUUCAACUUCAAGUCUAAACCUAAAGCUCUGAAGAAACGUUCGAUUGCUGAGAUUCUUAAUGCAGCGCCACCGAUCCAAAUCAGUAAUAACAAAACUAAGACGGUUGAGGUUGAGGAAGAUGAAGAUAAAUUCUCCGAUUAUUCCGGCGAGGAAACUAGUGCUUCUGAUGCUGCUGCUACUUUUGUUUCGAUAACUAAGAAUAAGAAGAGUGUGAAUAAAAACAGCAAAAAGAAAAAGACAAAGAAGAGUAAGAAGAAGAUGAUGAUGAAAAGCAAGUUGGGAAAGGACUUUGAUAGUGGUGUGUUGCUGAACAAUGAGAAGAAGACUGAUGUGAACAUGAAAAAGAAGAAGAAGAAAAAGAAGAAAAUCUUCAACAGUGAGGUCACUGGGAAGAAGGAAAGUGCUUACAACCGCGAGGUGCAAACCGCUGCAAAUAGUUGCAGAAAACUAAGAGGUACAUUUGGUAAUGAAAUGGUUGCACUGCAAGACAUUGAACCUUCUGUCCAUAGAAAGAAAUUGGGUUUAAAUGGCUUACCAGUUGAAAAGAAGCCACAAUUUACAAACUGUGACUCAGUUGGAAAGCGACAAAAAACAGAUUCUCCUGUUCGGGGCAUUCUUAAGAACCACUUAAGACAUGUUUCUGGAAAGUUAUCAGAUGGAUGUAAAAUUCGAGAUGGUACUGAAGAAAGUGAUGAUGAGAAUGAUCAUGUCAAAUUCUCUUAUAAAGAUAAAAUAGUUGGUCCGAAAAAGACAAAUUCAUUUGAUGAAACCAUGUUUAGCAUAUCUUCAGAUGCACUGCCUACUUCAUUUGUAAAGGAGCAGUCCUCUGGAAGUGAUGAAGAUUGUUCAAGUUUUGAGGCAGACCGAAAUUAUGACCACAUUGCCCUUAAGAUAGACAAGGACAAGAGGGAGGAGGUUUGCCCAAUAACUGAAAGCAAACAGUUUUCUAGUACUUUGGUACAUGUCACUGGACCAAAUUUCUUGAAGCCCUGUAUCAAUGAAGAGAAAUCAAAUCAGUUAGAACAGAAGUCUGAAAUAUUAACCAAGAUAGCCGUUUAUGAAGAUAAUAAUUCACAGCUUUUUGAUGGAGGCAACACAACUGCAGUGCAUUUUUCUCCAAAUGCUGGCAUUUCUAAACCUCUUUCGGAAGUCCAAGAAGGGCGAUUGUGUGGUAAAAAUCCAGAAGUGCGUGAAUCUGGAGUUUUCAGUUUCAGUGGAAAGUUCAUUGACUAUUCCCAGGAUCCUACUUUUCAGGUUGACGUGAACCAAAAUGCUAGUACAAACACAUUCCUGGAGCCUUCGUCAUCUUAUUCUGCUCCAUAUAACAAAGUAAAUGAAAAACCAGAAUCUCCAUCGCCUUCAUCAUCCUAUUAUGGAGAUAAUGGUAAUAGUGACCAGGUCUUGGGUACAGCAGAUAUGAUUGAUAAGUCAUACCCUUUUUCAAGCUGGGGACAAGGAUGCAUAAGAAACAGCUGUAUGGAUCCCAACUUUUUCGGUUUGCCACUCAAUUCUCAUGGUGAGCUGAUCAAUUUCAAUUCAAGUGGAAAUGUAGGGACGAACCAGCUGGAGACAUCAACUCCAUUAGGAGGUUCUGCAAGUGGCUUGCCUAGUAAUAAUAUUCUCUGUCAAAGUAGCCAGGAGAAUUUAACCAUUAAUGAGAGGCAGUUUGUUCAGAAGACAUUACCGAAAGAUGGUCUAAGUUCAUUACCUCAUUAUCCACCCAAGUUAGAUGUGACCGAGUUAUCCAGUCAUAGAGAAGAUAUCCAUCCAUCCAAUUUUGAAAUGUAUUCCAGUCACCACGUACAGCCACUUCAUCCAGAGCUCCUUAAACAUAACUCGUGUGUUGAACAGAACCAAUGUGAAAGAGUGCAGAACCACAACAGAAACGGUAUGGUUUCUCUGAAAGAAGGUUCAGAUCAUAUCUCACUAAAUUCCUGCCAACCAACAGUGAGGUUGAUGGGUAAAGAUGUUCCGAUUGCUAGAAGCAGCCAAGGUACACAACAAUUUAUGGGAGAUGUUUGGACUGAUGAGGAAUCCAGAAGAAGGCAUUAUGCUGAAUAUACUGCGUUAGAAACUUCUUUACUGGGAAGAUUUUCCAAGCAGGAUUGGGUAUCGGGUUCCCCUUUGCAAAUAUCAACUGAUAGUGUAUUGCAGUUGGCAAAAAUUCAAAGCACCCAUGGAUUACAAAGCACUCGGGGAUUUCCUCAACAAUUUAUUGAUAUGCAUAGUGAUCAUGUUUCUCAAAAUGGAAGUCUCGGAGUCUGCAGAAAUGCCAGUUCUUAUUUCAAUCCAAUUGCUCAGGAAUCUACCUCAUAUGCAGUAUUUAAUGGGGCACCGGAUGACUUUUCAAAGCAGUUUAUAGCUGGUUCUAAACCAUCAGGACUGAGCUCUCGGUCACAUGUAUUACCCGCUCCUUCCAAUUAUAAUCAGCCGAUGUGUUCAAGAAUUGGCGACCUUAAUGGCAGGAACAGAAAUCCUAAUGUUACAAAAUCAGGCUUUGGAUUUCCUUUCUUGCAGCCUGCUGUCGAUGAACCAGCCAAGGCACAUUGGAGUCAAGGGCCUUAUAGAAGUUCACCAUCUUGGUUGUCUAGCUCAACAGAUGACAGGUUAACCGGGGCUUAUUCUCAGCAACUUUCUGGCGUAGGUAAUCAAAGUUUCCCUCAAAAUCGAUGGGGAAAUAAUUUCAUCACGCCAUCUCUUAAUCACACAGCAGAAGUUCUCUACCCUUCUAAUCCUUUGACUUCUCAAGGUCCCAUUAAGACGACCCCUCUUUGUCCAGCACCUAUUGUUCAACCUCCAAAAGUUUCAGUUACAUCAUCUGCCAUGAAUAGUGAUUGUAGAAACAUAAACAAGGUCGUUGAGAGAGUAAAGUUGGAUGAUAUGGCCGUCAAAGACCAUCAUCCGUGCACAAAUAUCAGGAAGAGACCUGCAGCUAAUCUUGAUGAUUCCAGAAAACCUAUCAAGGUAUCCAAUAUAGAAGUGAGAGAAAACAUGAGUUGUAUGACAAAGUUGACUCAAGAAAGCUCAAAUGUGGAAUUGCAUUGUAACAAAAGAGCAAUGGUACAUGAUCCACAAGUGGAGAUCGCUAGAAGUAGGUGUUGCCAGAAUGUGGCACAAAAUCUAAAUCCUACAAGUUAUCCUGCCGUUGAUUCUUUUAAACCAAAUGGCGUGAUAAGAUCUAGUCCUGUCCGACUUGGUCCUAAAAGAGCUAAGCACAUCCUAAAAUCCUCUUGAAAUAUCGAUCAGGAUAGCAAAAGAGCGAUCCAUUUUGCCAUAGUCUUAUUUGUGAUUACUGACUGUGAUAGGGAUGUAGGAAUUCAGAGUUAAUUGACUAAAGUAUACUGAUUUUAGGUGUUGCGGAAACCGUGGAGAAUUGAUGUAAUUCCAUCCAAUCUUUUCAUCAUCCAGCUCAGUUUUGAAGUUUUUUGCUUUUUACAGAAUUUUAUCACCAAAGGUGAUGCUUUCAAUAUCUAUUUUCGAGUCAGGUAUUCUCGACACAGCUUAUGAUUAUCUUCUCAAUUAAAAUUAGGAUACAAAGGUCUCAUAAAGAAUUUGAUUAUAAGCUGUUAUGAGAACAAAUAUGUUAUAAAAGAUACACACACUUUUGAUGGAAAAAAGAGAUCAAAAUUUGCUUCCCCUCUAAUUAAGUUUAUGUUGUUAA